UUUUAAAUUAUAUUUUCAGACUUUGGAUAAUUCUUACUAUUAUUAAUUUUAAUCAAUUAUCUAAUCAAAUAAAUUAAAAUUUCGUUUUUAUUUUUUAAUUUAGUUAUACAUUUUAUUCAUUAAGGGUAUAAACGUUAUUAACCGCUCUAACUUUUAACAUGAGAGCUCGAUUCCAAAAAUUUACUUCGAAAAUUUUAUUCGAUUAACAUUUAGUUAUAUAAUUCAUGUUUUUCACUUUUUAGUAAAAGACUUUUUCAGAUAACAAUACAAUAUAUACAUAAAUUAUCUAUUUUUUAAAUUAUAUUUUUAGAUUUUGGAUAAUUCUUACUAUUAUUAAUUUUAAUCAAUUAUCUAAUCAAAUAAAUUAAAAUUUUGUUUUUAUUUUUUAAUUUAUUUAGUUAUACAUUUUAUUCAUUAAGGGUAUAAACGUUAUUAACCGCUCUAACUUUUAACGUGAGAGCUCAAUUCCAAAAAUUUACUUCGAAAAUAAUAGUAUAUAUUUUUACUAACCCCCAUGAUAAUGCAAUACCCACAGUGCUGUAAGUAUAUUUUGAUACACGCACCCAUCUUUUUUUUUUUGAAAGCUACUUGCGCCCCUCUUAUGGAGAUUUGAACUUAUCGCUAUUGAUUUCUAUUUUAUUUUGAAAAUAGUUAAUUUUUUUGAAAAUUUAAAGAAGGAAAUGAGCCGACUAAAAGAAAAGAACUGAAUCGACUAUUGUUUUAGUAAAUUCUAUGUAUCUUGAAACAAAAUAUUUUUGAUUGUGUAAUUACUAUAUAUUUAGAUGGUUAUUUGUAAUCUUAUCAGUAUUCUACAAAUAUUAUCUCUCUUUUUUAACAAAGUUUCAAGCUAAUUCCUUUUGUAGACAACGAUUUUUUGUGUGUGUUUGUGACAUAUAUUAUGACUUUUUUUUUGUUAGUUAAGCUCUUUUAAUGUUUGUUUUUCAAAUAACUAUCAUAUAUAUGAAGCUAAUUUCUGUUUUUUCACAACUCUAAUUUCCGUUUUAGUUACUUGUUUGUAUAUUUGUUUCAUUUUAUUUUGACAUAUAUAUUUUUUUUGGAAAUUUUAUAUUUUUAUGACAAUUUAUUUUUUCCAUUUUUUUUCUAAGUUAAGUUUCAGAAAUUUGAGAGUGCAUCAUUAUGUGUAUUAGAUCAUGCUUUGUAUCUUCUUUGCGGGAAGGUGGAAAUCUCUAUUGAAAGGAAGUAUGCUUUUAGCUACAUAUAGUGUAAGCUAUUUCAUUUCCUUCUUAUAUAUUGGCCCGACUUCUACAGCUUCUUUGAUGUAUAUUAUUUUAAAUUGACAUUCAUAUGUUAGUGUGAUUUAAUUGAAAACCAUCUUAUCAUUGCAGCUCAUGUUAUCCUUGCUCCUGAGAUCGAGGAGAAGGCACAACCUCUUAUAGAUUCUGGAUCUGACCAUGAGGUAUAUACCAAUUUUUUUUUUUUAAUAAAAGUAAAUUCAAAAUUUUUACUUUACUUUCAUCGCUUUGGUAGGUAUACUGGUGGGAUUACGAAAACGUGGAAUUUCCCAUGAUUUACGUCUACAAGAGGCUUAUUUAUGACCGUAUCACCUAGAAAUUGAGAGAGGAAGGCUGGAGUAGACGCAAAAACAUCACUAUCGUAGUGGGGUAUACAUAAAUAUAUAUGCUAAAAAGCUGCUGAAAAAAAAUUGAUGUCAUGCUCAUAAUCUUAAGAGUAAGUUUUUAUGUGUAAUUUGUGAGUUUUAUUUGGUUUAGAAACAUUAUUAGCUAGAUUUUUUUUUUGUUUCAGGACCUCCAAACACAAAAGGAGACCAAUCAACAGAUAAACAAAUAAAAGCUCUGAUACAAUGUUGGCUUAGAAAAGGUCUAAAGGCUCAAAAGACAUGAGGAUAUGGGGAUUUCAAACCGAAUGUCGAGCUACUGAAAAAAGCAGGCCAUCAAACAAUGAUUUUAUAUCGAGAAAACUCAACUUCAUAAGAAUUAUGUGGGGCUGAAAAAGGCGGAAAUGGAGAAGGUUUAUGUCUGCUCCAAAAGAAGUUAAGAGCCAGAGAAACAGGAGAUCUGAUAUGAUAAGGCAUCAAAGGCAGCUAGAGAUGCGGAUCCGGAAAAGCGACAGAGACUUAGAGGAAAGAGAAACGGUCAGAAAGAAACAUGAGAAGGCUAGGCGAUUGAAGCAACACGCAAGGAGGAAUCAAAAGAGAAAAAAAGAAUACAAAGAGAAAUGUCCUUGUUCUUGCAGUCGUUUGUGUAAGCAUUGAUUUUCGUAUUUUCUAUCAUGUCUUGUGAUUUGGUGAAUUAAGGUCCCUUGCAGUCGUUUGUGUAUUCCAUAUUUGUGUUGUCUUAGUAAUCAAGUGGUUUUUGGUUUCUCUGUGUAUGCAAGAGGAUUUGUGGAAGGUUGCAUUCCCUGUUGGAAGGUAAAAACAGUGGGAUCAAUUGGAUAAGUUCGAGUGGAAUUUCACAAAUAUCGAAGUAAGUUCAGUUAUCCAUUUAUAAGAAUCUUGUGUUCACUGAGUGUUAAAAAACUCACAUGAAUUGUUUUUUGCUUUUUGUGGUAGCAAGCUCUGCAAAAAGAUCGAAAUCUGCAUGGGAAGCUAGUAUAUGUUUUUAGCUGUACAUAGUGUAAGCUAUUUUAUUUUAUACUUAGAUAUUGGCAGAAUUUGUAUGGUCUUGUUUGCUGUAUAUUGCUCAAGUUGUGUCUGGCAAAAAGGAGGACAAGACUAUCCUUUCUUCUUCUUUUUUUAUUCUCGAGAAAUUUAAUGCAUAUCUAGUGCACUAGAAGAAAAAUGAUGUACCUUUGGCGUUAUCCACAAAAAUGCUAACAAAAAUUUAGUUAUUCAAUGAUAAAAGUAGAUUCUUAUAUCUAAUAUGAUUAGUAAAGCAUCAUAAAUGUGAAAACAUAAACCAAAUAUAUAAUCACAUUCAAAUGAUUGAUUGAAUCCAUCACAAGUAACUUAAUUUUGCAAUAGCACUAUAAAUGUGGAAAACAUUAAACUAAAUAAGUAAUCACAUUCAAAUGAUUGAUUGAAUCCAUCACAAAUAACUCAUAUGCAAUAUGAUGAAUGAUUUAUCCCAAUGAUUACUGCUAAACAAUAAUCACUAUGACAUUCAACAUGUUUGAUGUUUUAGUCGCAUUUGCAGAAAAUGAAUUGAAUCUGAUUUAGUUCAUUUUAAAUAUGGUGGAUAUAAUUUUAUUAUUUAAUCGAUCAUAUAAAAGGAAAAAUGAAAAUGCAAAAUCAAUGAUCAUAUACACUUUAAAUAUGGUACACAUAAAUUUAUUAUUUAAUUGAUCAAAUAAAAAUAAAUAUGAAUAUGCAAAAUCA